CGGACACAUCGGCCAAACGCUGCCUGGGCAGAGGUGAAAGUGUCCAGCUUGUAGUGCCGUGUAAAAGUCGAUGGAUUCUUCCAGGUUGCGGCCUUUCAUAUUUCAUGUCGGGGAGCGUUUGUAGAGAAAGUGGUGGAUGCAGCCUCUGCCAGAGUGGAAUGAGCUGUGAUCCUAGCUGGGGGUCGCAGUUGCUGGGAUUAAUAUGCUGAGACGAUGCAGGCUCGAAUCCAUCUAGCGAUGGUAGCCGAGGUGACCGCCUCACCCAUGGAGACCGAUGGAUCUUUGAGAGAGACUUCUCCAUCUCGAGGAAGCAGUGAAUUCGAGACCAGCUGGGCCACCAGCGCGUCUGUAUUUGGAGUCUUCAGAAGAGACGCUGGUUCCUGUUGAAGAGAGUAAAAAUGCGCCACCGCUGCCAUGGGCUUGCGCACCAAGGCGGGCUGAUGAAGCUUUGAGGGCGAAACGGCACAUAUCCGGAAGAGCCGUUCGACUUUGAUUCAUGAAGUUUGUUUUUCUCCACAAGGACAUGCAGUGGGCUUUAUCUCUGAUCCAGGUCAGCUUAUUUCUGGAAGCAUGUUCGAUGGGUUCUCUGCUAUCAGCACGUUUGUGAUUUUACAUCUUCACUUCUGUGCGGACGGUAUUGAGCAUUCCGCCAUUGAGGACGUCCACACCUCUUUCUGAGACCACGUCUGACGCAGUGCUUUUGUCAUCUGCCACUUCCAUUUUGAUUUUGAUACUUGACUUUGCCUAUUUCAUCCUGCAGUCCAAUUUUUGCCUGGCUCAAUUACACCUCCUUCCUUAACUUUUGACUGUUAUUGCACAUGCUUUUGUUUAUGUAUUCUGCAUUGUGAGAAGGCAUUUUGUGUAUUGUUUAUUCAUGUUAUGGAUCAUUUAUUACUGAAUUAUUAUUUCUGAAUAUAUAUUUCUAGUGUUUAUCUAUA